GGCGAACGCUGGCGGCGUGCUUAACACAUGCAAGUCGAACGGAAAGGCCCUGCUUUUGUGGGGUUCUCGAGUGGCGAACGGGUGCGUAACACGUGAGUAACCUGCCCUUGACUUUGGGAUAACUUCAGGAAGCUGGGCCUACUACCGUAUAGGAGCUCCUCUUGCAUGGAGGGGGUUGGAACGUUUCGGCGGUUGGGGAUGGACUCGCGGCUUACCAGCUUGUUGGUGGGGUAGUGGCUUACCCAGGCUUUGACGGGUAGCCGGCCUGAGAGGGUGACCGGCCACAUUGGGACUGAGAUACGGCCCAGACUCCUACGGGAGGCAGCAGGGGGGAAUAUUGCACAAUGGGCGGAAGCCUGAUGCAGCAACGCCGCGGGCGGGAUGACGGCCUUCGGGUUGUAAACCGCUUUCGCCUGUGACGAAGCGUGAGUGACGGUAAUGGGUAAAGAAGCACCGGCUAACUACGUG
rnacentral:rRNA from 1 species